CAAACUUGAGAGUUUGAUCCUGGCUCAGAACAAACGCUGGCGGCAUGCCUAACACAUGCAAGUCGAACGAAGAAUGUUUACAUUCUUAGUGGCAAACGGGUGAGUAACGCGUGAGAAUCUGCCUUUUGGUGGGGGAUAACUAAGGGAAACUUUAGCUAAUACCGCAUAAGCUUGGAAACAAGGAAAAAUUUAUUGCCAAGAGAUGAGCUCGCGUCAGAUUAGGUAGUUGGUAGGGUAAAGGCCUACCAAGCCUGUGAUCUGUAGCUGGUCUGAGAGGAUGAUCAGCCACACUGGGAUUGAGAUACGGCCCAGACUCCUACGGGAGGCAGCAGUGAGGAAUAUUGGACAAUGGGGGAAACCCUGAUCCAGCAAUGCCGCGUGAGUGAAGAAGGCCUUUGGGUUGUAAAGCUCUUUUACUCGUGAAGAUGAUGACGGUAGCGAGAGAAAAAGUUCCGGCUAACUCUGUGCCAGCAGCCGCGGUAAGACAGAGGGAACUAGCGUUGUUCGGAUUGACUGGGCGUAAAGGGUGCGUAGGUGGUCACUUAAGUAAGAUGUUAAAGCCCAGGGCUUAACCCUGGAAUCGCGUUUUAAACUGAGAGACUAGAGUGUGGUAGAGGAAAACGGAAUUCCUAGUGUAGAGGUGAAAUUCGUAGAUAUUAGGAGGAACACCGGAGGCGAAGGCGGUUUUCUGGGCCAUUACUGACACUGAGGCACGAAAGCGUGGGGAGCAAACAGGAUUAGAUACCCUGGUAGUCCACGCCCUAAACGAUGAGUGCUAGACGUCGGGUUUUCUCGGUGUCGCAGCUAACGCGUUAAGCACUCCGCCUGGGGACUACGGUCGCAAGACUAAAACUUAAAGGAAUUGACGGGGGCCCGCACAAGCGGUGGAGCAUGUGGUUUAAUUCGAUAAUACGCGAACAACCUUACCAGAUCUUGACAUGGGGGUCGAGAGCCUUAGAAAUAAGGUUCACCGGUUCGGCCGGACCCCACACAGGUGCUGCAUGGCUGUCGUCAGCUCGUGUCGUGAGAUAUUGGGUUAAGUCCCGCAACGAGCGCAACCCUUGUCCUUAUUUGCUAACAGGUAAUGCUGAGAACUAUAGGGAGACUGCCGGUGAUAAAUCGGAGGAAGGUGAGGAUGACGUCAAGUCCUCAUGGCCUUUAUGGUCUGGGCUACACACGUGCUACAAUGGUGACUACAGAGGGAAGCAAUAGGGUAACCUGGAGCAAAUCCCCAAAAGUCAUCUCAGUUCGGAUUGUUCUCUGCAACUCGAGAACAUGAAGUUGGAAUCGCUAGUAAUCGUGGAUCAGAAUGCCACGGUGAAUACGUUCACGGGCCUUGUACACACCGCCCGUCAAGCCAUGGGAGUUGGUCUUACCUGAAUCCGGUGCGCUAACCGAAAGGAAGCAGCCGUAUAUGGUUGGGUCGAUGACUGGGGUUAAGUCGUAACAAGGUAGCCGUAGGGGAACCUGCGGCUGGAUCACCUCCUUUCUAGGG
rnacentral:rRNA from 1 species